AGUCGCCAUUCCCCAUUUUACAGCUGGGGAAACUGAGUUACAGAGCUUUUCUGCACUGAGUCAUCAGGAGCAAAUGCUAGAUCAGAUAGAGUCUCUCUCUCUGCCACCCAGGCCAGAGUGCAGUUGACGCAGGGCAGGGGAGCCCCGAAGUGGAGCAUAGUGUGUCCGGAACUGGUGGGUUCUUGGUCUCCCUGACUUCAAGAA
rnacentral:lncRNA from 1 species